GACGAACGCUGGCGGCGUGCUUAACACAUGCAAGUCGAACGGAAAGGCCCUGCUUUUGUGGGGUGCUCGAGUGGCGAACGGGUGAGUAACACGUGAGUAACCUGCCCUUGACUUUGGGAUAACUUCAGGAAACUGGGGCUAAUACCGGAUAGGAGCUCCUGCUGCAUGGGGGGGGUUGGAAAGUUUCGGCGGUUGGGGCUGGACUCGCGGCUUAUCAGCUUGUUGGUGGGGUAGUGGCUUACCAAGGCUUUGACGGGUAGCCGGCCUGGGAGGGGGACCGGCCACAUUGGUACUGCGAGACGGCCCAGUCUCCUACGGGAGGCAGCAGUGGGGAAUAUUGCAGAAUGGGCGGAAGCCUGAUGCAGCAACGCCGCGUGCGGGAUGACGGCCUUCGGGUGGUAAACCGCUUUCGCCUGUGACGAAGCGGGAGUGACGGUAAUGGGUAAAGAAGCACCGGCUAACUACGUG
rnacentral:rRNA from 1 species